GCGCUCGUAGUACAGAGGCAGUAUGUUUCCCUUCCAAGGAAAUGACCCGGUUUCGAUUACCGGCGUGCGCA
rnacentral:tRNA from 1 species